UACGACGGGGGCUAGCGUUGUUCGGAAUCACUGGGCGUAAAGGGCGCGUAGGCGGCCGCUCAAGUCGGGGGUGAAAGCCUGUGGCUCAACCACAGAAUUGCCUUCGAUACUGUUUGGCUUGAGACCGGAAGAGGUUAGUGGAACUGCGAGUGUAGAGGUGAAAUUCGUAGAUAUUCGCAAGAACACCAGUGGCGAAGGCGGCUGACUGGUCCGGUUCUGACGCUGAGGCGCGAAAGCGUGGGGAGCAAACAGG
rnacentral:rRNA from 1 species